rnacentral:rRNA from 1 species
UACGGGGGGAGCAAGCGUUGUUCGGAAUUACUGGGCGUAAAGGGCUCGUAGGCGGCCAACUAAGUCGGACGUGAAAUCCCUCGGCUUAACCGGAGAACUGCGUCCGAUACUGGAUGGCUGGAGGUUGGGAGAGGGAUGCGGAAUUCCAGGUGUAGCGGUGAAAUGCGUAGAUAUCUGGAGGAACACCGGUGGCGAAGGCGGCAUCCUGGACCAAUUCUGACGCUGAGGAGCGAAAGCCAGGGGAGCAAACGGG